GACGAACGCUGGCGGCGUGCUUAACACAUGCAAGUCGAACGGAAAGGCCCUGCUUUUGUGGGGUGCUCGAGUGGCGAACGGGUGAGUAACACGUGAGUAACCUGCCCUUGACUUUGGGAUAACUUCAGGAAACUGGGUCUAAUACCGGAUAGGAGCUCCUGCUUCAUGGUGGGGGUUGGAAAGUUUCGGCGGUUGGGGAUGGACUCGCGGCUUAUCAGCUUGUUGGUGGGGUAGUGGCUUACCAAGGCUUGGACGGGUAGCCGGCCUGAGAGGGUGACCGGCCACAUUGGGACUGAGAUACGGCCCAGACUCCUACGGGAGGCAGCAGUGGGGAAUAUUGCACAAUGGGCGGAAGCAUGAUGCAGCAACGCCGCGUGCGGGAUGACGGCCUUCGGGUUGUAAACCGAUUUCGCCUGUGACGAAGCGUGAGUGACGGUAAUGGGUAAAGAAGCACCGGCUAACUACGUG
rnacentral:rRNA from 1 species